rnacentral:rRNA from 1 species
CAUGCAGUCCAGCGGAUGAGAAGAGCUUGCUCUUCGAUUCAGCGGCGGACGGGUGAGUAAUGCCUAGGAAUCUGCCUGGUAGUGGGGGACAACGUUUCGAAAGGAACGCUAAUACCGCAUACGUCCUACGGGUAGAAAGCAGGGGACCUUCGGGCCUUGCGCUAUCAGAUGAGCCUAGGUCGGAUUAGCUAGUUGGUGAGGUAAUGGCUCACCAAGGCGACGAUCCGUAACUGGUCUGAGAGGAUGAUCAGUCACACUGGAACUGAGACACGGUCCAGACUCCUACGGGAGGCAGCAGUGAGGAAUAUUGGACAAUGGGCGAAAGCCUGAUCCAGCCAUGCCGCGUGUGUGAAGAAGGUCUUCGGAUUGUAAAGCACUUUAAGUUGGGAGGAAGGGCAUUAACCUAAUACGUUAGUGUUUUGACGUUACCGAGUGAAUAAGCUCCGGCUAACUCUGUGCCGGCAGCGCGCGGUAAUACAGAGGAUGCUAGCGUUAAUCGGAAUUACUGGGCGUAAAGCGCGCGUAGGUGGUUUGUCAAGUUGGAUGUGAAAGCCCCGGGCUCAACCUGGGAACUGCAUC